GACGAACGCUGGCGGCGUGCUUAACACAUGCAAGUCGAACGAAGAGCGAUGGAAGCUUGCUUCUAUCAAUCUUAGUGGCGAACGGGUGAGUAACGCGUAAUCAACCUGCCCUUCAGAGGGGGACAACAGUUGGAAACGACUGCUAAUACCGCAUACGAUCUAAUCUCGGCAUCGAGGAUAGAUGAAAGGUGGCCUCUACAUGUAAGCUAUCACUGAAGGAGGGGAUUGCGUCUGAUUAGCUAGUUGGAGGGGUAACGGCCCACCAAGGCGAUGAUCAGUAGGCGGUCUGAGAGGAUGAACGGCCACAUUGGGACUGAGACACGGCCCCGACUCCUAAGGGAGGCAGCAGUGGGGAAUCUUCCGCAAUGGACGAAAGUCUGACGGAGCAACGCCGCGUGAGUGAUGACGGCCUUCGGGUUGUAAAGCUCUGUUAAUCGGGACGAAAGGCCUUCUUGCGAAUAGUGAGAAGGAUUGACGGUACCGGAAUAGAAAGCCACGGCUAACUACGUG
rnacentral:rRNA from 1 species